rnacentral:rRNA from 1 species
UGGGGAAUUUUGGACAAUGGGCGAAAGCCUGAUCCAGCAAUGCCGCGUGUGUGAAGAAGGCCUUCGGGUUGUAAAGCACUUUUGUCCGGAAAGAAAUGGCUCUGGUUAAUACCUGGGGUCGAUGACGGUACCGGAAGAAUAAGGACCGGCUAACUACGUGCCAGCAGCCGCGGUAAUACGUAGGGUCCAAGCGUUAAUCGGAAUUACUGGGCGUAAAGCGUGCGCAGGCGGUUGUGCAAGACCGAUGUGAAAUCCCCGAGCUUAACUUGGGAAUUGCAUUGGUGACUGCACGGCUAGAGUGUGUCAGAGGGGGGUAGAAUUCCACGUGUAGCAGUGAAAUGCGUAGAGAUGUGGAGGAAUACCAAUGGCGAAGGCAGCCCCCUGGGAUAACACUGACGCUCAUGCACGAAAGCGUGGGGAGCAAACAGGAUUAGAUACCCUGGUAGUCCACGCCCUAAACGAUGUCAACUAGUUGUUGGGGAUUCAUUUCCUUAGUAACGUAGCUAACGCGUGAAGUUGACCGCCUGGGGAGUACGGUCGCAAGAUUAAAACUC